rnacentral:rRNA from 1 species
GGUUUAGACCCACGGCGAACGGGUGAGUAAUACCUAGGAACAUCCCACAAGUCGAGCAUAUCCAGCCGAAAGGUUGUGCAAUUCUCGAUGUGAAGGAAACUUCAAAGCAGCAAUGCGCUUGUGGUGUGGCCUGGGCACCAUCAGCUAGUUGGUAAGGUAAUGGCUUACCAAGGCUAUGACGGUUAGGGGGCCCGAGAGGGUGAACCCCCACACUGGGACUGCGAUACGGCCCAGACUCCUACGGGAGGCAGCAGUUCGGAAUAUUCCGCAAUGGGCGAAAGCCUGACGGAGCGACGCCGCGUGCACGAUGAAGGCCUUCGGGUUGUAAAGUGCUUUUGCUAGGGAACAAUAUUUUGAGCGUACCUAGAGAAUAAGAGGUUGCUAACUCUGUGCCAGCAGCAGCGGUAAUACAGAGACCUCAAACGUUAUCCGGAAUCAUUGGGCGUAAAGCGUACCGACAGGUGGUCUUACAAGUCAGAGGUUAAAUCCUGGAGCUUACCUCCAGAAUCGCUUUUGAAACUGUAAGACUAGAGGGGCAAAGAGGAAGCUGGAACAAACGGUGUAGCAGUGAAAUGCGUUGAUAUCGUUUGGAACACCGAUAGCGAAGGCGGGCUUCUGGGUGCCACCUGACACUGCUAGGACGAAAGCGUGGGUAGCGAAUGGGAUUAGAUACCCCAGUAGUCCACGCUGUAAACGAUGCGCACUCGCCGCUAGGGAGUAUCGACCCUCCUUGGUGGCUAAGCUAACGCGGUAAGUGCGCCGCCUGGGGACUACGGCCGCAAGGCUAAAACUCAAAGGAAUUGACGGGGACCCGCACAAGCGGUGGAGCAUGUGGUUUAAUUCGACGCUAAGCGAGGAACCUUACCAAGAUUUGACAUGUAGCUGCAAGCCCAAGAAAUUGGGCCGCCCUCGAGGGUGCUACACAGGUGUUGCACGGUUGUCGUCAGCUCGUGCCGUGAGGUGUUCACUUAAGUGUGAAAACGAGCGCAACCCCUGCCCCGAUUUACAAGUGUAUCGGGGGACUGCCCGGGUCUAACCGGGAGGAAGGCGGGGAUGACGUCAAAUCAGCGUGAUCCUUACAUCUUGGGCCACACACGUGCUACAAUGGGGAGCAACAAUGGGACGCCAAACCGCAAGGUGGAGCAAAUCCCAACAAACCUCCCCCCAGUUCGGAUUGAGGGCUGCAACUCGCCCUCAUGAAGCCGGAAUCGCUAGUAACCGCAAAUCAGCCUCGUUGCGGUGAAUACGUUCUCGGG